rnacentral:rRNA from 1 species
GAUGAACGCUAGCUACAGGCUUAACACAUGCAAGUCGAGGGGAAACGACAUCGAAAGCUUGCUUUUGAUGGGCGUCGACCGGCGCACGGGUGAGUAACGCGUAUCCAACCUGCCCAUCACUUGGGAAUAACCUUGCGAAAGUAAGACUAAUGCCCAAUGAUAUCCCACGAAGGCAUCCGAAUGGGAUUAAAGAUUUAUCGGUGAUGAAUGGGGAUGCGUCUGAUUAGCUUGUUGGCGGGGUAACGGCCCACCAAGGCGACGAUCAGUAGGGGUUCUGAGAGGAAGGUCCCCCACAUUGGAACUGAGACACGGUUCAAACUCCUACGGGAGGCAGCAGUGAGGAAUAUUGGUCAAUGGGCGAGAGCCUGAACCAGCCAAGUAGCGUGCAGGAUGACGGCCCUAUGGGUUGUAAACUGCUUUUAUAAGGGAAUAAAGUGAGUCUCGUGAGACUUUUUGCAUGUACCUUAUGAAUAAGGACCGGCUAAUUCCGUGCCAGCCGCCGCCGUAA